rnacentral:rRNA from 1 species
CUGGUUGAUCCUGCCAGUGUCYARYUUGCUCAAAGAUUAAGCCAUGCAUGUCUAAGUAUAAGCAAUUUAUACAGUGAAACUGCGAAUGGCUCUAUUAAAUCAGUUAUCGUUUAUUCGAUAGUACCUUACUACUUGGAUAACCGUGGUAAUUCUAGAGCUAAUACAUGCUUAAAAUCCCGACUGUUUGGAAGGGAUGUAUUUAUUAGAUAAAAAAUCAAUGUCUUUGGACUCUUUGAUGAUUCAUAAUAACUUUUCGAAUCGCAUGGCCUUGUGCUGGCGAUGGUUCAUUCAAAUUUCUGCCCUAUCAACUUUCAAUGGUAGGAUAGUGGCCUACCAUGGUUUCAACGGGUAACGGGGAAUAAGGGUUCGAUUCCGGAGAGGGAGCCUGAGAAACGGCUACCACAUCCAAGGAAGGCAGCAGGCGCGCAAAUUACCCAAUCCCGACACGGGGAGGUAGUGACAAUAAAUAACGAUACAGGGCCCUUUCGGGUCUUGUAAUUGGAAUGAGUACAAUGUAAAUACCUUAACGAGGAACAAUUGGAGGGCAAGUCUGGU